rnacentral:rRNA from 1 species
GACGAACGCUGGCGGCGUGCUUAACACAUGCAAGUCGAACGGAAAGGCCCUGCUUUUGUGGGGUGCUCGAGUGGCGAACGGGUGAGUAACACGUGAGUAACCUGCCCUUGACUUUGGGAUAACUUCAGGAAACUGGGGCUAAUACCGGAUAGGAGCUCCUGCUGCAUGGUGGGGGUUGGAAAGUUUCGGCGGUUGGGGAUGGACUCGCGGCUUAUCAGCUUGUUGGUGGGGUAGUGGCUUACCAAGGCUUUGACGGGUAGCCGGCCUGAGAGGGUGACCGGCCACAUUGGGACUGAGAUACGGCCCAGACUCCUACGGGAGGCAGCAGUGGGGAAUAUUGCACAAUGGGCGGAAGCCUGAUGCAGCAAUGCCGCGUGCGGGAGGACGGCCUUCGGGUUGUAAACCGCUUUCGCCUGUGACGAAGCGUGAGUGACGGUAAUGGGUAAAGAAGCACCGGCUAACUACGUG